CAGGCGGGAGGACCCCGUGCCAUCCGCCUUAGACACGGCCAAGGCUCACGCGCAAUUCAUCUGCCCCUUCGUGACAGCCCCUCUGUGGGGGGGUUACUGUUAAUGUGGACAUUUCUGAACAGACACUGCAAGUCCCAAAAGGAUUUGAGGCCGAGAAAACACAGCGUGGGUCUCCAGGGCCAGCCCGAGCCCGGGGUCGCCACGUUAUCCUCGCCAGCAGAAAGGACUGUCUGCCCAGAAACUGCUCGCAAAACCCUGUGGUUGCUGAGCUGCUGGGGUCUGGGGAGCGGCGGUGAGGCAGGCAGUGACCUUGCACCAAGGUGGGCUCGACCUCCUCGGGGAAGGCGCCUGGAGAAGGAGGACGAGGCCGGACUCCGCCUUCGAGGACGGGCCAGCCCGCGGGCACCCGCAGAGGUAGGCACGUUUUCUGCACGUCAGGUGAUGGGAGGCGGAGGGCAGCCCGGCGUCCAGGGAGCCUGAGGAUGGAGACUUGGAGACCAGUCUACCAAGCGGACACGAGUUGUUUUCACAGCCCCGUCUCUCCAGUUCCUGCCAUGGUGGGAGCAGGGAGCGUGGCCUCUGACGCCCCGUGGCCUCCACCUGGGCUCACCCUGUGGCAGUCCCACCACCACCACCCCCCGCCACUGGGAAGGUCCUCUCUCUUCCCAGGGGACUGUUGGGAGCGGGCCAGAGCCCUUCCCGCCUGUCCUAUUUGGACUUGCCACCCGACCCUUCAGAGUCGGGGCCGGCUGCUUGCCGAAGCCUGGUGAGAAGGUGGAGUCCCCGAAGGUCAAAUCAAGGAGAGGAUGCAAGAGGCCGAUGGGUUUUAUAAAGGUCGUCGGCUGGAAAUAAAAGGCUGGCGUGUUUAUGCCUGCGGGUCUGAGGGACCUGGUCCCUCUGAACAUGAGGAGGAGAGCCUCGCAACAUCCCUCUCGAGAAGGGCCGUCCUGCGGCUUCGGAUGACGGUGAC
rnacentral:lncRNA from 9 species